rnacentral:misc_RNA from 1 species
GAUGAAGAACGUAGCGAAAUGCGAUAAGUAAUGUGAAUUGCAGAAUUCAGUGAAUCAUCGAAUCUUUGAACGCACCUUGCGCCCUUUGGCCAUUCCGAAGGGCAUGCCUGUUUGAGUAUCAUGAACACCUCAACUCUCAUGGCUCGCCAUGAUGAGCUUGGAUUUGGGGGUCUUGCUGGCCUGUGGUCGGCUCCUCUCAAAUGGAUCAGCUUGCCAGUGUUUGGUGGCAUCACAGGUGUGAUAACUAUCUGCGCUUGCGGUUUUCCAUCAGAUAACCUUCAGUGAUGGAGGUUCGCUGGAGCUCAUAAACGUCUCCCCUAAGCGGGGACAGCCCUUUGAAUGUUUGAUCUCAAAUCAGGUAGGACUACCCGCUGAACUUAAGCAUAUCAAUAAGCGGAGGA